rnacentral:rRNA from 1 species
GAUGAACGCUGGCGGCGUGCCUAAUACAUGCAAGUCGAGCGAACAGAUGAGGAGCUUGCUCCUCUGACGUUAGCGGCGGACGGGUGAGUAAAACGUGGAUAACCUACCUAUAAGACUGGGAUAACUUCGGGAAACCGGAGCUAAUACCGGAUAAUAUAUUGAACCGCAUGGUUCAAUAGUGAAAGACGGUUUUGCUGUCACUUAUAGAUGGAUCCGCGCCGCAUUAGCUAGUUGGUAAGGUAAUGGCUUACCAAGGCAACGAUGCGUAGCCGACCUGAGAGGGUGAUCGGCCACACUGGAACUGAGACACGGUCCAGACUCCUACGGGAGGCAGCAGUAGGGAAUCUUCCGCAAUGGGCGAAAGCCUGACGGAGCAACGCCGCGUGAGUGAUGAAGGUCUUCGGAUCGUAAAACUCUGUUAUUAGGGAAGAACAAAUGUGUAAGUAACUAUGCACGUCUUGACGGUACCUAAUCAGAAAGCCACGGCUAACUACGUG